GCAGCAGACCUUUUGGCCGAGUGGUUAAGGCGAUGGACUGCUAAUCCAUUGUACUCUGCACGCGUGGGUUCGAAUCCCAUCCUUGUCGCA